rnacentral:rRNA from 1 species
ACCUGCGGAGGGAUCAUUACACAACAAAAUAUGAAGGCCUGGCUUUCGCGGCCGGCUGAAGUAUUUUUUUCACCCAUGUCUUUUGCGCACUUGUUGUUUCCUGGGCGGGUUCGCCCGCCACCAGGACCAAACCAUAAACCUUUUUUUCUUAUGCAGUUUCCAUCAGCGUCAGUAAAAACAAUGUAAUUAUUACAACUUUCAACAACGGAUCUCUUGGUUCUGGCAUCGAUGAAGAACGCAGCGAAAUGCGAUACGUAGUGUGAAUUGCAGAAUUCAGUGAAUCAUCGAAUCUUUGAACGCACAUUGCGCCCUUUGGUAUUCCAAAGGGCAUGCCUGUUCGAGCGUCAUUUGUACCUUCAAGCUUUGCUUGGUGUUGGGCGUUUUUUUGUCUCCCUCUUUCUGGGAGACUCGCCUUAAAACGAUUGGCAGCCGGCCUACUGGUUUCGGAGCGCAGCACAUUUUUUGCGCUUUGUAUCAGGAGAAAAGGACGGUACUCCAUCAAGACUCUACAUUUUUCACUUUUGACCUCGGAUCAGGUAGGGAUACCCGCUGAACUUAAGCAU